rnacentral:rRNA from 1 species
GGAGCUUUAGACACCAACCAACCACGAAAAGCGACCCUGAUUGGAGCCCCAAACAACGUGAUUCUGGCAUAAGUGUCUUCGGUUGGGGCGACCACGGGAGAUAGCACAGCUCCCGAGUGGAUGGGGGACACCCUAAAACCCAGAGCCACAGCUCUAAGUCACAAAACAUUUGACCAAUAAUGAUCCGGCUUAAUGCCGACCAACGGACCAAGUUACCCUAGGGAUAACAGCGCAAUCCUCUCCCAGAGUCCAUAUCGACGAGGGGGUUA